CAAGGUUGGUGGAAACAAAUACUGCCCUUCUGGAACAUGGUACAGUGGCUGUGGAAAUGCUCAGUGUCAUGAAAUCAAGAUAUGAGAGCCUUACUGCAAAAUUGGGGAGAACAGGAUCGAGUCACCAUCUCAGUGGAGCACAAAUCCCAGAAAACCUAAUUUGAAUUGCACAUGAUAUUUGACUCAUCACAUGGCAGAUUAAACAUCAGCAAUACACACCCUUUUUUCCUUUAUGUUUUUGCUGAGUCACAUGAAGCUAUGGAUAUGGUAGUCAUAAUUUUUAUUUUACUGAAUUUAAUUGAAUAUACAAAUAGAACACUUUGUAAGGCAAAUAUAGCUCAUUCAUGUAAAGGAAACUGCAAAAGGGGAAAAAUCCCCUCAAGAUUUGGAAUUUUUAAAUUUUAUAUUAUGGUAUUUCAUCUAGCCUUCAAGUCAAAACUAGUCAACAGGAAUGUAACUUUACAUUUUCUUGAAUAGCAGCUUCGUAUAAUAGUAUAAAGCUAGUGGUUUAAUUUAUAUCAAGCCUAGCAGAUUCAUUUUAAAAUUAUAAUUGUCUUGUACAAAUUUUCUCUUAAUCUCUUCAAGUGGUUCUGGAAGAACACAUGCAUCUAGAGCUGUGUUCUCCUUACCCUUUUAUUUAAUUAGAUAAAAGAGUAGUAUGGUGUA